AGAGUUUGAUCCUGGCUCAGGAUGAACGCUGGCGGCGUGCUUAACACAUGCAAGUCGAACGAAGCACUUUUGAUUGAUUUCUUCGGAAAGAGAGAGACUGUGACUGAGUGGCGGACGGGUGAGUAACGCGUGGGUAACCUGCCUCAUACAGGGGGAUAACAGUUAGAAAUGACUGCUAAUACCGCAUAAGCACACAGCUUCGCAUGAAGCAGUGUGAAAAACUCCGGUGGUAUGAGAUGGACCCGCGUCUGAUUAGGUAGUUGGUGGGGUAACGGCCCACCAAGCCGACGAUCAGUAGCCGACCUGAGAGGGUGACCGGCCACAUUGGGACUGAGACACGGCCCAA
rnacentral:rRNA from 1 species